rnacentral:rRNA from 1 species
GACGAACGCUGGCGGCGUGCUUAACACAUGCAAGUCGAACGGAAAGGCCCUGCUUUUGUGGGGUGCUCGAGUGGCGAACGGGUGAGUAACACGUGAGUAACCUGCCCUUGACUUUGGGAUAACUUCAGGAAACUGGGGCUAAUACCGGAUAGGAGCUCCUGCUGCAUGGUGGGGGUUGGAAAGUUUCGGCGGUUGGGGAUGGACUCGCGGCUUAUCAGCUUGUUGGUGGGGUAGUGGCUUACCAAGGCUUUGACGGGUAGCCGGCCUGAGAGGGUGACCGGCCACAUGGGGACUGAGAUACGGCCCAGACUCCUACGGGAGGCAACAGUGGGAAAUAUUGCACAGUGGGCGGAAGCCUGAUGCAACAACGCCGCGUGCGGGAUGACGGCCUUCGGGUUGUAAACCGCUUUCGCCUGUGACGAAGCGUGAGUGACGGUAAUGAGUAAAGAAGCACCGGCUAACUACGUG